GCGGUUCCCGCGCUGCCUGGGGCCGUCCGCCGCCGAGAGUCGUUGCUGCAGCGGUGGAAGGUGUGCAGGCCCCCGGGACUCUUCUGGCUCUGCCCGGUGCCUCCGGCGCCGCGAGUCUGAAUCCGAGCCUUGCCUCCUCCACUGAGUAGCUGCGUGGCCAUGGGUAAGGUGCCCAUCUGCCAUGUCUCCGUCUGCGCAGUGAAGGAUUCUGGUCAGUACGCCGCUGGGUAGACAAUGAGCUGAUCAUUCCUGCAGAAUUUGUAUCAUAGAGAGAUCACAAGUACACAGAGAGGCAGGCAGAG